GACGAACGCUGGCGGCGUGCUUAACACAUGCAAGUCGAACGGAAAGGCCCUGCUUUUGUGGGGUGCUCGAGUGGCGAACGGGUGAGUAACACGUGAGUAACCUGCCCUUGACUUUGGGAUAACUUCAGGAAACUGGGGCUAAUACCGGAUAGGAGCUCCUGCUGCAUGGUGGGGGUUGGAAAGUUUCGGCGGUUGGGGAUGGACUCGCGGCUUAUCAGCUUGUUGGUGGGGUAGUGGCUUACCAAGGCUUUGACGGGUAGCCGGCCUGAGAGGGUGACCGGCCCCAUGGGGACUGGGGUACGGCCCGGACCCCUCCGGGGGGCAGGGGGGGGGAAUUUUGCACAAGGGGCGGAGGCGUGCUGCAGCAACGCCGCGUGCGGGAUGGCGGCCUUGGGGUUGUAAACCGCUUUCGCCUGUGACGAAGCGUGGGUGGCUGUAAUGGGUAAAGAAGCCCCGGCUAACUACGU
rnacentral:rRNA from 1 species